rnacentral:rRNA from 1 species
GACGAACGCUGGCGGCGUGCUUAACACAUGCAAGUCGAACGAAGUGGCGAACGGGUGAGUAACGCGUAAUCAACCUGCCCUUCAGAGGGGGACAACAGUUGGAAACGACUGCUAAUACCGCAUACUGAAGGAGGGGAUUGCGUCUGAUUAGCUAGUUGGAGGGGUAACGGCCCAACAAGGCGAUGGUCAGUAGCCGGACUGGGAGGAUGAACGGCCACAUUGGGACUGGGACACGGCCCAGACUCCUACGGGAGGCAGGAGUGGGGAAUCUUCCGCAAUGGACGAAAGUCUGACGGGGCAACGCCGGGUGAGGGAUGACGGCCUUCGGGUUGGAAAGCUCUGUUAAUCGGGACGCGGUACCGGAAUAGAAAGCCACGGCUAACUACGUGCCAGCCGCCGCGGUAAUUC